GACGAACGCUGGCGGCGUGCUUAACACAUGCAAGUCGAACGGAAAGGCCCUGCUUUUGUGGGGUGCUCGAGUGGCGAACGGGUGAGUAACACGUGAGUAACCUGCCCUUGACUUUGGGAUAACUUCAGGAAACUGGGGCUAAUACCGGAUAGGAGCCCCUGCUGCAUGGUGGGGGUUGGAAAGUUUCGGCGGUUGGGGAUGGACUCGCGGCUUAUCAGCUUGUUGGUGGGGUAGUGGCUUACCAAGGCUUUGACGGGUAGCCGGCCUGAGAGGGUGACCGGCCACAUUGGGACUGAGAUACGGCCCAGACUCCUACGGGAGGCAGCAGCGGGGAAUAUUGCACAAUGGGCGGAAGCCUGAUGCAGCAACGCCGCGUGCGGGAUGACGGCCUUCGGGUUGUAAACCGCUUUCGCCUGUGACGAAGCGUGAGUGACGGUAAUGGGUAAAGAAGCACCGGCUAACUACGUG
rnacentral:rRNA from 1 species